rnacentral:rRNA from 1 species
AGCGAACGCUGGCGGCAGGCUUAACACAUGCAAGUCGAGCGGGCCCUUCGGGGUCAGCGGCAGACGGGUGAGUAACACGUGGGAACGUACCCUUUGGUUCGGAAUAACGCUGGGAAACUAGCGCUAAUACCGGAUACGCCCUUUUGGGGAAAGGCUUGCUGCCGAAGGAUCGGCCCGCGUCUGAUUAGCUAGUUGGUGGGGUAAUGGCCUACCAAGGCGACGAUCAGUAGCUGGUCUGAGAGGAUGAUCAGCCCCACUGGGACUGAGACACGGCCCAGACUCCUACGGGAGGCAGCAGGGGGGAAUAUUGGACAAUGGGCGCAAGCCUGAUCCAGCCAUGCCGCGUGAGUGAUGAAGGCCUUAGGGUUGUAAAGCUCUUUUGUCCGGGACGAUAAUGACGGUACCGGAAGAAUAAGCCCCGGCUAACUUCGU